rnacentral:sRNA from 1 species
AUCACAGUGUCGUCAAACACGAAGGAAAACAGAAGAACGACGACGAAAACGAGGAGAAGUACACAUGGAGGAACGAUGAGAAAUCGCUUAUUACUGAUUUUUUAUACCACUACGGUAUUGUGGACUAUUGGUUACACACAGCUGGUUUUGGGUAAACCACCCAUUUUCCAGGAUGGUGGAUCUGUCGAGCAAAAAGUUGCCGUUGAGGGUUUGUUUUCAUUUUCUUUGCUUUUAAAUACUUGAGAUUUACAGUUAAAUGUAAUUUAAAUUUGAAAAAAGAAGCAUUCAAAAACAGCUUUUAGUUUGAAUUCAGAUAUAAUUACGUAUUGAAUUGUUUUCAGGCGAAAUCAUUCGAUUAAAAUGCGACGACGCCGAGCUCGCUGAGCAGUACGAAUGGCGAAUAGGCGACGCAUCUGGCGAGCUCAUUGCCACCUCGAAGUUCUGUGAAGUACAAGCUUCUCGUGUCAAUGACGAAAAGAAAUAUCGAUGUGUUGCUAGGAAUACGGUUGGCGCAGCAAUUUCACCACCAUCUAUGGUUCGCUCCAAGUGUGAGUUUUUUAAAGGAAAAAUUAGAAAUUUUGCUCAAUUCUUUUGACCUCUUGACUUGCUUAACACAAUAUCUGACUCAUUUGAUACAAAUCAUACUUUUCUUUCCGUUCCGCUCCUUCUUGAUUAGUUUAGUGACCACCACCACUAGUACAACAACUUGAUGACUAACAGGAUUUGUCGGAACUUACCUAAAAACAUGCAAGACGCCGCCGGAAAAUGACCAAUUUUGGUCACUAGUAUGGAGGUGUCAGGUUUCGAAGGUAGAAAAGGGUCUUACUUUCUUUCUUUCUUUUUCUGCUACAGCAACGGGGCUGUAUAUGUUUCCCAAACACCUAGAAUACAUAUAUAGAAAUGUUUGCUCCUAGCGUCAACACAAACACACACAGAAAAACAUAAUAAAGGGGUCUAAAUGGUUAACAGGUGUUAUGGAAACUGAUGGACACUACGGACUAUAUAAAAUCUAAUAAGAGAAGUACAAUUAGACUUUCAAAUGAAACUUUUAUUAUUUGAAAGAGGACUUUCUAAAUAGGUCCCUACAAAAUAUUUAGCGGCAGAUAAUCAAACUGGAAAAAAGUCGAUCUGAAAAUGUUUCAAUUCAGUUUCGAAUGGAUUUUCAGUAUAUUGCCGAAUAUUAUUUGUUUAAUAUAUUCUUUCUUUCAUUCUUAGUGGGAAAAGUUGAGAUCAACAGUCAUUUGAGCCGACCGUAGCAGAUGCGUUCGUAAAUCUUUGCACAAUGUUUAUGAGGCGCCAACAGGCUCUGAUUAUAAUCGUUUUAUGCUCAUUGCCGCGCGGCACUCGAACAUGCUCUUUGCACACCUCAGUGAAGAUGGGUCUCUCUCUCACACAUCUGUGCAUGGGGCAAGGUUCUCCAAAAAGUGUUUAUGACAGUUUUGUGAAUAGGCAAGAGAGACCGGCACAAUUUGCUUUGCGAAACACACUAACGCUCUCUCAAUAAAACGCGCGGAAGAUCAUUGAGAGAUUGAGAGAGUGCAGUCAGACAAUGAAGGAGUGAGACCUCCAUAUAAUCAGCUUCUCAUGUUCGAAUUGAGCAAACUAUUGAGAAUGCGCGAGCACCAUUGGUGACGGUUUGAAUGGAAUGAAUGUGGGAGACUGAUUCUUUGGAGAAAUACAAAUGUUGCAAAUAGUUGAAAAAUAAAAAAAAACCAUUAUUUUCAGAUCUUGACGAUUUCGAUGCAUCAGAUGAAUCUGUUCAAUACGAAGUUACAACAGGAGUUGGACGAUACUUUGUGCUCCGAAGGCCAACUCUUCUUGCUUCACGGAAUCUUGAUAUAUCCUAUUCAUGGAUUAAGGAUGACUCUCAUCAGGUACUUUUUAAAUUUUAGUCACGAAUCUGCAGUUCUAAAAAUUAAACGAAAAAUUUAUAUUCCAAUAAAAUUCAUUUUUGUCAGUGUCAGUGAGUAACAAUUUUUCUUCCGCACGAAACUUCAAGAGUUACUACUUGUAAGCUCAACAAGCUUUCAUCUCUCACCACGUCCACUCAAGUGUUCCCCCUCACAAAGUAUAUUGUGUUGUAUGUUUACUUCUUGUUUAUAGGUCACUCCGGACGCCACACACUUUGUGACCAGUGAUGGAAAUCUCGUGGUUACCGGUGUGAAGAGGGACGAUUUUGGAGCAUACAAGCUGAUGGCCAGUAGUGAUGAUUUGAAAGAAAUUGUAUCCAAAGAAUAUAACGUUAGAGAUAAUGGAUUGAGGUAAGAUUCUCGGCUAAUUCGUGAGGAAAAUGUUUAAAAAUUCACUUCUUUUGACCAAAAAUGACAAGAAACUGAUAUUUUUGAUUUUCUAUAUUCAUAAUGGCUCAAAACACCGCAAUUCAUAACAAGACCACAAAAAAUUUUAUGACGGCUGAAAAUUUCGAGGAAAAAAGUACAAAAUUUUAACUAAAAGCUGAAAUUUUCCAACUUUUCCGUACCGUAGUGUCUUCUUUUUCGAAAUUUUGAACCUUCUUAAAAAAAUUUAUGAAAAGUCCCUCUAUGAAAUUUAGUGUUUUUUGGGUCAUCUUUGGAAAAAAAAAACCAAGAACCGUUACUUAAAAUUUUUAAAAACCAAUCAAAUAUUUAUUUUUCAGUCCAUCUCUACAAAACACAUUAUCAAUCGUUUAUUUUCCAACUGAUCGGACUAUCAUUGAAUCAACUCUUCCACACGACGAAAUAUUUGAUUGUGUGACUUCAUUUGGAAGUAAGGAUGAUGUACGAAUUAGAUGGUUUCUGAAUGGUCAACAAAUCAGCGGAUCUGAAGUUGGAAUGACGACUACUUUAAACAAUAGACGACUCAUUAUCUCUAAUCCAUCCAGCUUCACCCGUGGAGAGCAUAAACUCGAAUGUCGUGCUGAUGCAGCAAUGGGAAGAACGUCAGAUCAAAAAUCUGCGUAUAUGACAUUUAUCAGCCGGCCAAUAUUGAAAGACUUGCCUAAUGAAAUACAAAAAACAGUAGGAUCCAGUCUAAGUCUGAAGUGUUCUGUGAAAAAGAAGAGUUCAAUGGAUAUCAAGUGGUACAAGAACGGAUUAAUGG